GGCAAGUACUUCUUCCCUCCCUGUUGCUCGAAAUGCUGUCCGGCGCACGGUAAGGUUAACGGCAGGUCACCACCCCAAUGUCCACCACCUCCCUCGGUCUGCAGGGGAUGCUGGACAGGGAAGUGUUAAUCCUUCUGUGUCCAUUUCUAAUGCAGUUGCGGCGCUAUUUAGGCCUUGGAGAUGAUUUCAAUUUGCUGUUGGUUAUUCCAUCGUCGGGACGACGAUUCAAUUGAUGGGGGCAGAUUGUGGCAACAUGUAGUUUGUUGUCAUGGUGACUGUCAGCUGUGCGGCAGUCUCAGCCAAUCACGGUGGGAGACUAUCUAUAAAGGCGGGCGUAGAGCACCUGUCGGCCUCUUGCUUGCCGUAGGCUGGGUCACGUUGCGCCUGGGCGUCCAUUUCCGCUUCCGUGCGGUGACAGGCUCUUGCUUGCCGGAGGCUGGGUCACGUAGCUCCUGUGCGUCUAUUUCCGCUUCUGUGCAGUGAUAGGGCUCACUUGGAUGUUGCUGCUGGCUGCGCGCUGCUCAUCGAUACAUAGCCGAUGCCGCCUACUGAACUGUCGCUUUUGUAUAGCGUCCCGUUCCCUGCUCCACGCCACGUUGGCCAGGACUGCCCGAUUGGGUGGCCGACAGUAGCUUCCACGUUAUUACCGCCUUGCCAGGGCCAGCUCGGACCCGAUCGCUUUGCCGUUCAUUCGGCUAGCGAUAGUUUGUUCCUUUUCCUGUUGUGUCGCUAUCUCUUUUGUUUAGUUGGUGCAACUACAUCUUAAAGUGUGUAUGUUAUGUUAUGUAAGAGUUUUGGCUGAUUUCUCCUUGUGUUUACUCAUUAUAGAUUUUGUUUAUUGAAUUAAUUU